AUUGAACGCUGGCGGCAUGCCUUACACAUGCAAGUCGAACGGUAACGGGCCUUCGGGUGCCGACGAGUGGCGAACGGGUGAGUAAUGCAUCGGAACGUACCUUUCAGUGGGGGAUAACGUAGCGAAAGUUACGCUAAUACCGCAUAUUCUGUGAGCAGGAAAGCAGGGGAUCGCAAGACCUUGCGCUGAUUGAGCGGCCGAUGUCGGAUUAGCUAGUUGGUGAGGUAAAGGCUCACCAAGGCGACGAUCUGUAGCGGGUCUGAGAGGAUGAUCCGCCACACUGGAACUGAGACACGGUCCAGACUCCUACGGGAGGCAGCAGUGGGGAAUUUUGGACAAUGGGGGCAACCCUGAUCCAGCCAUGCCGCGUGAGUGAAGAAGGCC
rnacentral:rRNA from 1 species